GUACAAUGAUGAGACUUUGGCUCC
rnacentral:piRNA from 1 species